rnacentral:rRNA from 1 species
CAGCAGCCACGGUAAUACGUAGGUGGCAAGCGUUGUCCGGAAUUAUUGGGCGUAAAGGGCUCGCAGGCGGUUUCUUAAGCCUGAUGUGAAAGCCCCCGGCUCAACCGGGGAGGGUCAUUGGAAACUGGGAAACUUGAGUGCAGAAGAGGAGAGUGGAAUUCCACGUGUAGCGGUGAAAUGCGUAGAGAUGUGGAGGAACACCAGUGGCGAAGGCGACUCUCUGGUCUGUAACUGACGCUGAGGAGCGAAAGCGUGGGGAGCGAACAGGAUUAGAUACCCCAGUAGUCCCUGUCUCUUAUAA